rnacentral:rRNA from 1 species
UACGUAGGGGGCAAGCGUUGUCCGGAAUCAUUGGGCGUAAAGAGCGCGUAGGCGGCCCUGUAAGUCCGCUGUGAAAGUCAAGGGCUCAACCCUUGAAUGCCGGUGGAUACUGCAGGGCUAGAGUCCGGAAGAGGCGAGUGGAAUUCCUGGUGUAGCGGUGAAAUGCGCAGAUAUCAGGAGGAACACCGAUGGCGAAGGCAGCACUCUGGGCUGGUACUGACGCUGAGGAGCGAAAGCGUGGGUAGCAAACAGG